GAUGAACGCUGGCGGCGUGCCUAAUACAUGCAAGUCGAGCGAACAGACGAGGAGCUUGCUCCUCUGACGUUAGCGGCGGACGGGUGAGUAACACGUGGAUAACCUACCUAUAAGACUGGGAUAACUUCGGGAAACCGGAGCUAAUACCGGAUAAUAUAUUGAACCGCAUGGUUCAAUAGUGAAAGACGGUUUUGCUGUCACUUAUAGAUGGAUCCGCGCCGCAUUAGCUAGUUGGUAAGGUAACGGCUUACCAAGGCAACGAUGCGUAGCCGACCUGAGAGGGUGAUCGGCCACACUGGAACUGAGACACGGUCCAGACUCCUACGGGAGGACGCAGUCGGGAAUCUUCCGCAAUGGGGGAAAGCCUGACGGAGCAACGCCGCGUGAGGGAUGAAGGUCUUCGGAUCGUAAAACUCUGUUAUUAGGGAAGAACAAAUGUGUAAGUAACUAUGCACGUCUUGACGGUACCUAAUCAGAAAGCCACGGCUAACUACGUG
rnacentral:rRNA from 1 species